rnacentral:rRNA from 1 species
GAUGAACGCUGGCGGCGUGCCUAAUACAUGCAAGUCGAGCGAACGGACGAGAAGCUUGCUUCUCUGAUGUUAGCGGCGGACGGGUGAGUAACACGUGGAUAACCUACCUAUAAGACUGGGAUAACUUCGGGAAACCGGAGCUAAUACCGGAUAAUAUUUUGAACCGCAUGGUUCAAAAGUGAAAGACGGUCUUGCUGUCACUUAUAGAUGGAUCCGCGCUGCAUUAGCUAGUUGGUAAGGUAACGGCUUACCAAGGCAACGAUGCAUAGCCGACCUGAGAGGGUGAUCGGCCACACUGGAACUGAGACACGGUCCAGACUCCUACGGGAGGCAGCAGUAGGGAAUCUUCCGCAAUGGGCGAAAGCCUGACGGAGCAACGCCGCGUGAGUGAUGAAGGUCUUCGGAUCGUAAAACUCUGUUAUUAGGGAAGAACAUAUGUGUAAGUAACUGUGCACAUCUUGACGGUACCUAAUCAGAAAGCCACGGCUAACUACGUGCCAGCAGCCGCGGUAAUACGUAGGUGGCAAGCGUUAUCCGGAAUUAUUGGGCGUAAAGCGCGCGUAGGCGGUUUUUUAAGUCUGAUGUGAAAGCCCACGGCUCAACCGUGGAGGGUCAUUGGAAACUGGAAAACUUGAGUGCAGAAGAGGAAAGUGGAAUUCCAUGUGUAGCGGUGAAAUGCGCAGAGAUAUGGAGGAACACCAGUGGCGAAGGCGACUUUCUGGUCUGUAACUGACGCUGAUGUGCGAAAGCGUGGGGAUCAAACAGGAUUAGAUACCCUGGUAGUCCACGCCGUAAACGAUGAGUGCUAAGUGUUAGGGGGUUUCCGCCCCUUAGUGCUGCAGCUAACGCAUUAAGCACUCCGCCUGGGGAGUACGACCGCAAGGUUGAAACUCAAAGGAAUUGACGGGGACCCGCACAAGCGGUGGAGCAUGUGGUUUAACUCGAAGCAACGCGAAGAACCUUACCAAAUCUUGACAUCCUUUGACAACUCUAGAGAUAGAGCUUUCCCCUUCGGGGGACAAAGUGACAGGUGGUGCAUGGUUGUCGUCAGCUCGUGUCGUGAGAUGUUGGGUUAAGUCCCGCAACGAGCGCAACCCUUAAGCUUAGUUGCCAUCAUUAAGUUGGGCACUCUAAGUUGACUGCCGGUGACAAACCGGAGGAAGGUGGGGAUGACGUCAAAUCAUCAUGCCCCUUAUGAUUUGGGCUACACACGUGCUACAAUGGACAAUACAAAGGGCAGCGAAACCGUGAGGUCAAGCAAAUCCCAUAAAGUUGUUCUCAGUUCGGAUUGUAGUCUGCAACUCGACUACAUGAAGCUGGAAUCGCUAGUAAUCGUAGAUCAGCAUGCUACGGUGAAUACGUUCCCGGGUCU